CAGCAGCCGCGGUAAUACAGAGGGAGCUAGCGUUGUUCGGAAUUACUGGGCGUAAAGCGCGCGUAGGCGGUUACUCAAGUCAGAGGUGAAAGCCCGGGGCUCAACCCCGGAACUGCCUUUGAAACUAGGUGACUAGAAUCUUGGAGAGGUCAGUGGAAUUCCGAGUGUAGAGGUGAAAUUCGUAGAUAUUCGGAAGAACACCAGUGGCGAAGGCGACUGACUGGACAAGUAUUGACGCUGAGGUGCGAAAGCGUGGGGAGCAAACAGGAUUAGAUACCCGCGGUAGUCCCUGUCUCUUAUA
rnacentral:rRNA from 1 species